UACAGAGACCCCGAGCGUUAUCCGGAAUUACUGGGCGUAAAGCGCGAGCAUCCGGUCGCAUUAGUCUGUCGUUAAAUUCCGAGGCCCAACUUCGGAACCGCGAUGGAAACGGUGCGGCUAGAGCGGGUAAGAGGUAAGCGGAACGUGCAGUGUAGGGGUGAAAUCCAUUGAUAUUGCACGGAACACCAAAAGCGAAGGCAGCUUACUAGUGCUCUGCUGACGGUCAAUCGCGAAAGCGUGGGUAUCAAAAAGG
rnacentral:rRNA from 1 species